CAAACAACAGAUCAAGCCAGCUCCUUUGUACCUGAUUCGAGUGGUGGAGAAGCCAUUUGAGUAUCUGCUUCUUGAUUGUGUGGGUCCGCUUUCGAAGAGUAAGGUUGAUGUUAAAACCAAGACAGUCCUGAAAGCUUUGACUAUCUUCAUGACUACCUUCAGAAUCCCAAAAGUGGUGCAAACUGAUCAGACAAUCUUACAUUGGAACCUGUUUGGCCAGAAGCCACUUCAUCAUUGUAAUUCCCUUCCAUCCACUCAUACUUCUUGGAUUUGAUAUUGUGUUCUUUGGGAUGAGGACGAGGACCCGAAUGACUCUAAUGAUGAUGACAAGGAAGACAAAAUUGCCAUUAUCAAUCAAUCUUUGCAUCAAUGUUAAUGAUAAUGUUGACAAUAAUGAUAAUGAUGUCAACAAUAAAAAUUAAAAAAAAUGUUGACAACAAUGCCCAAAAUGAUGAUGAUGAUGAUGAUAACAAUAACGGUCAUCAAGUUAUGGAUGCUGGUGCAGUUGCUGCGGUUGUCAUGGAAGUCAACCAGGAUGUAGAAGAAGCAGAGGAUGACCCACUGACAGGAGGAUCCCAGAGGAUUGUUUUUUUAGCUCCUUAAUGUUUUUGUAAGGGAUUUUUUCUUUGUUCUCAGUCAGGGGCAUUCAGGUUAUGGAGUGUGUCAUUUGUAUUCAAUGUGGACACUAAAACCUUCUGUCAAACCGUAAAACUUUAAAUAAAGGUAAAGCUUUAA